CUAUAAUUUAUGAAACUGAGCCCCAGAUCCAGCCAAUCAUUUAGCUCCUCAUAACAAGUCUAACUGGCUCUGGAAGGCUGAAAGGGCUGCACUAGAACAACAAAGACGAGAUAUUCCACAUAACACUCAGCUGAUCUGGAAUCACUUUCUUUGCAGGGCCAGAGAAAAAUCACCACUUCACUGUCUGAGGGAAGCAGGACAGAGGACCUGGGAAAUGCGACCUCACCCUGGAGCAAGAUCUUUUAUGGUUUGGCAAUCCCAACAGUGCUGGCCUUAAAGAUCCCACCUACCGCUGGAACCCGGAGGGCAACUAUAGCAGCAGAAACCCGAAGUGUUGCUGCCUAUGGUGACUAUGUGAGAAUUGAAACUUCUGAGGGAAGCCAGGUUGUUAAAACUGUGAUUCCCUUUACUCAACGGUAACACAGAUGAUCUAGUCUGAAAGGGAAAGCAAGCUCUUAAGACAAGUCCAAGGAUACUCUAAACUAAGGCAUUUAAGUCACUUCACAUGAUAAUUGUCCAGAAGUUUCCUAUAGGAAAACUUCAUCUUUGACAACUUUGAAGAUAACCAUCUCACCACUCAAGACAAUGGCCAACCACCAUCCAGCAAGUCCUUGAGUUAGAAGCUUUCUCAACUUCUGGAGAUUGUCUGUGUCAAUAUAAAACUCAGUUUCCUACUGACCCCCGGUGCCCUGACCCUUACAAACACUAAAGGUUUUGUUUGACUCAACUGCAAGCUGUUCAUCUGUUAGUAAGUAAUACAUGCCCGAAAACACAUUCAUGAUGAGAGCUUUCUAAAAGACCAGCAUGGGCUUCCCUUCCUAUAAUCGUAACAGUCGUGAUAGCCUGAGACAUGUUACUGUUACUUGGCAAUUUGGGGGGGAGGGGUAGAUAUUUAGUGCCUGGAGCUGUCACAUAGCAGGGAAAACCCCACAUUGGGAUGAGGGAAGUGAUGUCUCAGUACAAUCCAACUUAAGGGGAUUAUACCGUUUACAUUUGAUUUCAAUACCUUAUUAAAAAACAGUGCAAUGAAGGAGGAAAUUUAAAAAUACACACAGAUACUCUAAUCUUCUUUUGCCUAAAGUUGUUAGUGCAGUGUGUUAAAGUCAGCUAGGGGGCUUCCCUGGUGGUGCAGUGGUUGAGAGUCCGCCUGCCGAUGCAGGGGACAUGGGUUCGUGCCCCGGUCCGGGAAGAUCCCACGUGCCGCGGAGCGACUGGGCCCGUGAGCCAUGGCCGCUGAGCCUGCGAAUCCAGAGUCUGUGCUCCGCAACGGGAGAGGCCACAACAGUGAGAGGCCCGCAUACCGCAAAACAAAAACAAAAACAAAAAAAAGUCAGCUAGGUAUCACUGCCCAUCAGUCAGGGCUUGUGCUAGCAGGUUCUGGGCAGAAAGACUACUUCCAUCAUCACCAUCAAUUAAUAUCUGUUGGCUGUUGCAUCCAGCACUGAGAGGCUCGUGGUAUACAAGGGUCACCCAAACAGCUGAAUUCCAUUCUUACUCAUUUCCUGGAUCUCCACCUCACAGAUAAGAAUUAAGAUGAUCCCAAUAAAAGUAGCUCAGGAAUGCAAACCUCUUUCUGAACCAAAAACUGUCAGCAAAUCUCAAAUAUCAGAGCAACUCUGGUUGACUGAAAAGUGUCCCUAUAUCUGGGCCAGGAAGGAUUUCUAGGCCCAUAAGCUAAUCUGUCUGGCCCUGCAGUUUAUGUGGCCAAAGGAGCUGCUCAUAAGAUAACUCAUAAGAAACAUCCAGACCCACCAUGUCAGUGUGUCAGACCAGCUGAGACUGGCGGGACGUUAACUGCACUCCAGGUGACGUGGAUAAAUAGCCCCAUUGUUUUCACAGCACUGGACGCCGCCUAAAGAAACCCUAGACCUUGGACCAGGUUGCUGGGUGGUGUGGGGGAGGACUGCUGACAGUUCAGAUGCCAGCUCUUGGAGCCACUGUCUAUAGUGUAAACCGAAAGAGAAGCAGUUACUUAGAAAAACGUCAGCAAGAAGGCCUGCUCACUUUAACAAAGUAAAAAAAAAAAAUUUUUUUUUCACUUAUAUAAAAAGGCAUUUAUAUAUGGUGGUCAUUGCCGGGAGUAAGCUUAUGUUCUUGGUUCAGAUAACAAAACACAUCAUCUGGGCACAUAGACCUCACAAUCAAACUUGUUCUUGGCCCAUGGGGGGAAUUUUUGUGGCUGUUUUUCAGCUGUCUCCCCAAGAACAUGAAUGCUUGGAAAUGUACUAAAAAUGCAUGUGACAAGAUUCUAAACCAUAUUAUACAUAAAAUUAACCUAAAUCAACAACCUUUUGCACUCAUAUAUAGUCAAAACUCUUCUUCUAGGUAACAAGACGUGAGCGAAAGGAUAUUUCUUUGGCCUUGCUGUUUGUCAGUGUUUGUCAAAAGCCAUACAACAAUACGGAUACAAAAUAGGCAAUGACUUGCAUUUGGAAGAGAAAACUUUGAAGGGUUGCAUUCUUCAUAUUUGAUGCUAAAACCGCCUCUUGUUUCAAGCAAUGUGUAAGCAUUAUAGCAUGGAGGUUGAGAGCAUAAAUUCUGAGCCAGACUGCCUGGGUUCAAAUCCCAGCUGACUCUUAACUGUGGACUUGGGGCAAGUUACUUAAGAACUCUAUGCCUCAGUUUCCCCAUAUGAAAAAUGGUGCCACCCACAGUAACUACCUCCUGGGGCUGGUGUGAAGAUUAAAUGGGCAACACCUGCUUAGAACUGAGCCUCUUACAUGGUGAACAUUCAUUAAAAGAAAACGAUCAUUUGUUUUAUGAUGAUUAUUAAGCUCAUUGCAAAAAAGGUACACAAUAUCCAAAAUGGAGGUGAAUUACUAAACAGCCAGAUAUGGUGAAAUAUAGCUAUUAACAUUACAUAUUUCAUUUCAGGUAAUAUUUAUACAAGUACGAUUUUUGUCUUAAGGCAUCUGAGAUAAAAGCUCAAGGAGGUGGGUCUGUUAACUGUCAGUUUUCUGCCUGGUUAUCACUUGACAUUUUCAACCCUGCCCUGCAUUUACUGUGUCACACAAGGACACUAACCUAGGAAAUGACACAGAAAGGAGUUAUUGUGGUAGACAUGAUUCAUAUGAUAGUUGGUACGAAGUUCAGGCUAGUUUAAAGAUUCCUGCGUGAAGGCAAAAAAAAUAAUGGAAGCCAUUCAUUUCAGUCAUGGUACCCUAACCAAAAAAAGAUUUGAAGGGAGAAAAAAAAAAAAAAGAGAGAGAGAGAGAGAGUUACCUAUCAUGAACAGCAGUGCUGAUUAUCUAAAGACAUGAACCAUGUCUAGAAUUCAUGCUGACUUCUCAGCUUAGAUAUGAGAGAACACUGGAGCUAAUUAUCUCCUUUCCUCCUGUGAUAGGGGAUUUCUCAGUUUAGGAGAUUAUUAACUGAAACUUCUACUUACUCACCGAGAAGGUGCAGAGAAAAAACAGUCUGCUUGUGAGGGAGCAGUCACCCUAGGGAAGGACAAUAGACUUCUACACUCAGUCAUUCCUGCAUUCAUUCAUUCACUCACGAGGGGUCUUGCCCCUUAUCUCCUUCCACGCCCACACAAACACCCACCAGUCACAUCUCAUCACUCACAGGGCCUCAGGGAGCACACGCUCUCUGACCCUAUGCUUCUGAGGAUGUCCCUCUCCAUCUGCAUGCCGCUCCCCAGCACCUACAACUAAGACCAAGGAAAAGCCCCUCCUUCCCAGCAAACCCCUUCCUACCCACCUCCUCUGCAUGGAAGGUGCUUAUUCCCUGCGGGAUAAAUGAAUGAAUCAGCACCAUUUACCUCAUGAAUUAGCAGGACAAAUAAUCAGUGGGAAAAUUGGGGAACAUUUUCAAUUUAGCAAAAAAAAAAAAAAGAUUUCAAAAUGAAAUCUAGGGUACUUUCAACAAGAUCCAAAAUGAAAUCAAAUGUUAAGGCUUAACAGUCCCGUAGACAGACCCUUCACUAGAGUUAGAGAAUCAUCUCUGGUCUUUCUCAACAAGUUGAUAAAGAAACGCAAGGAAGCCUACCCAGGUUGCUAGAAAUGAUUGCAUAUGUGAAAGGUUUGUAUGCAGUCCAGCAGGGAGUUGAAUGAGCUAAACUAAGUCUCUUUAUUCUAAUUAUCCUGCUCCUGGCAGAGGAAUGCAACAGGAAGGGGGAGGUCUCAGAUUCAGGGGUGGGUGAUUAUCUCCCCCACUCCCCUAGGCUGCAUCAGCUCCAGAGUUGGACAUGAAGUUUCUCUCCGGGGCCCACUUAUGCCACUGAGUCCUUGCCACCUGCAGUAUUGCUGCAGUCCAGGCCUGUUACUGAGGGGACAGUCACUGGGCACUGGACAUUCACCAAAGACGAGGACGAUGGGAAGGGCUGAAGAAUUAAGAAAACAGUGUGUUGGAAGGUAACCAACAGAAUUGUGACACAGGUCCAAUGUGUCUUUAGGCCCUCUCCCACUUCACCUCUGCCUUGCACCUCAAAAAAUAUAUAUAUAUUUUUCCUCAUAUAUAUAUUUUUUCCUAAUCUCCCCAGCUUCCUCCACCAAAGCGGUCCACAAAGGAGCCUGUCCUCCCCUCCCACCAAAUGAAUCCUCUUGGGUGCCAUCCCCAGAGCGACCAGAUUAAACCCGUCUGUGCCACUAUGGUUAAAUGUCCCUGUCAUCUUGCACGCGGCACUGCAUUUUAAUAGAGGCUUUCUAGAAAUAAACUCGAGAACCAAGGAAUUUACGACACUGAACACUUCAGGCCCCUUGGAGCAUGACAACAAAGGCAUGCAGAAGGCAGGCGGGGCUUUCUGGGCCCUGGGACCCACACCAGCAUAUCAGUUACCUUCUCCUCUCAGGAGUGGGCCACCGCGACACACAGCCCGGAGCCAAGGAGAACGCUGGGUUUUCACUCCUUCGGGCAAGGCCAGUUGGGCAUUACACAACCCGUAUAACCACUCAUACAGUCAUGUCUCUGUGGUCCCUGAGGCUUCCCUCUCUAUUUACAGAGCACAGGCUACCAUCAGUCAGGAUUUCUCAAUUUUUAGUCCUCCCACAAUAGAGAUAAAUACUUGGCGUCUCAAAGCACUUUGGCUAUGGGGACACAUUCGUGAUCACCAGUUACUAAGAGGCAUAAGUCUCACAAUGUCUCCCAAUCCACAGGAUUUUUUUUUUACUUUUUUUUUUGCCAUGAGAAUUUAAGCACAGACAUCAGAGCAGUGGAAGGAGAGCAGACGGCACUUGUGUCCCAUGUGCUUUGAAAAAUAAUGCAGAGGCACUUGAACUUCUUGCGCGUUGGGAUUGGUGAAGGUGCUUGUUAACAUGGUAGAUCUUUGAUCCCACCACAGGAUGCUCAUCUCACAGGUCUAGAAUGGAGCCGAGAAAUCUGCAUUUUUUUAUUGGUACACACCCCCCCGCCCCUAGGCUUGUUAAACCAGUCAUCACAGAUUACCCUUAAGAAGCACUGAGAUAGUGCAUGCAAACCACUUAACAUAAAACCUGGCAUGUUACAAAGUGCUCAAUACUUACUAGCUGUAAUUAUUAAGAGUUGGAAUUGAUCCCAACUUCAUAUACUCUACUCAGACCUAACCUUGGUUAAGUGAAAAUUGCACAUGGGCGUGGCAGCGUGAUAGCAAGCCAGGAGCUAGUUUAGUGCAAGGAAAGAGAAAUGAGGGAUACGGGACAGAGAUAGCCUAAUUUGUGUCCUUCUAGUGAUCUAUUAGCCUUUGAUGAAAACUCUUGAGCCUCAAUUACCCGCCCUCACCAUUCCACAGUAUCAACAGCUCUGAAAAGACAACACAGCAAUGUUUGAAACAAUCGUCUACGAACCAGAAGUUCCCAAAGUAAAAACACUCAAAAUAUUGACACUUUCAUUUUUCUGCCCCAAAGAAAGCAAUACAAGGUUAUUUGUUUUGUAAGACAAAGCAGGGCCCAAGUAAAUAGGGCAGUUUUAAGUGGCUCAGUCCACCAACUUUAGCACAAUAUAGGAGAAGUAAAUCCCCAACCUGACGGGCUGCUGUGCUUCUGUGAGUCUUGGCUAAUUUCCUCUGCAAUGAUGUGGGUCUUCCACGGAUGGUUGGAGCUAACUGUGUCUACUUACCACUUGGAAUCACUCCUCACAGUAAAUAGGAUGGCCCUUCAGGAAAUCUUCUAUUUAGUUUGCAUGCUCCUGAGUAUAGGACAAAGCUUUGUUGUUUAAGAACAUAAAUAACAAAAUUUUUGUUCUUCCAAACCAAGAGGGAAAUUGUAGAACCAUCCAAAAUCCUUGGUCUUAAACUGCAUCAGGAUAACAAGAAUGAAAUAUAAUUUUAGGUUACCCAACAGGAUCAGUCACUCACUCUCCUCUUCUGCCUUCAGAAAACAAUGACUCAAUAUGGCCUUUUUCUGACAGCCUUAGGAAAAAAUGUUCCACAUAUUUGGAAGUAGGGCUCUUCCUGCCUUUAAAUCAAUGGAAGCUAUUCAAAGCCCUCUUAGCUUUCUCUCUGAAUCAUGGGCAUAGGAACACAGCUGUUUGUACUCAUACAAUUAAAGUAAAAUAGAAACCAUGUGAAAAAAAAAAAUCAAAGAAUUUUCUUAUACCAUCCCAGGUUCUUGACAUGUGUUUCACUGCCUGCUUUUCCUCAGUAACCUCUAAAAGGUUGAUACGUAUUAUUAUUCCCAUUUUUUACCAAGAGAGGUUAAAUAAGCUUCCCUAAAAAGAGAUGAAAUUGAGCUAUUUGUAAUGAGGUGGAUAGACCUAGAGUCUGUCAUACAGAGUGAAGUAAGUCAGAAAGAGAAAAACAAAUACCAUAUGGUAAUACAUAUAUAUGGAAUCUAAGAAAAAAAAAUGUCAUGAAGAACCUAGGGGUAAGAUGGGAAUAAAGACACAGGCCUACUAGAGAAUGGACUUGAGGAUAUGGGGAGGGGGAAGGGUAAGCUGUGACAAAGCGAGAGAGAGGCAUGGACAUAUAUACACUACCAAACGUAAGGUAGAUAGCUAGUGGGAAGCAGCUGCAUAGCACAGGGAGAUCAGCUCGGUGCUUU